AUGGAGCAGCCGCCGUCCUCGCCGCCGCCCCCCGCGGCGGCCACGGCCACGGCAGCGCCUACUCCCGCUCCCGCUUCCGCUCCCAUUAUCCUGUCGGACUCGCCUCCUGCGGCCGCCGCGGUGGCGGAGCCCGCGCUGACCGCCGCGCAGAAGGCGCUCCGCUCCAAGCCGGCGCGCGCCCCCGAGGACCCCGACAAGAAGAAUAAGAAGCUCAAGGAUGUGGAGAUCAGUUUUCCAAUUGUCUAUGGAACCAUUUCAUUUUGGCUUGGCAAAAAAGCAAGCGAGUACAACUCUCACAAAUGGACUGUGUACAUCCGUUCUGCAACAAAUGAGGAUUUGAGUGUCAUAGUUAAGCGUGUAGUGUUUCAGCUUCACCCAAGUUUCACUAAUCCAACAAGAGUUGUAGAGCAACCGCCUUUUGAGUUGUCCGAAUCUGGAUGGGGAGAGUUUGAGAUUGCAAUAACCCUUUAUUUUCACAGUGAUGUCUGUGAGAAGCGUCUGGACUUGUUUCAUCAACUUAAGCUGUAUCCGGAAGAGGAUGCCGGACCUCAAUCAACAAAAAAACCUGUUGUAGUGGAAACAUAUGAUGAAGUUGUCUUCCCUGAGCCCACUGAGGCCUUCUUCCUGCGAGUGCAAAAUCAUCCUGCUGCUACUGUGCCCAGGCUACCUCCUGGUAUGACAUUGUCUUCUCCAGGCCCUAUGGAACUUAUGUCACAUGAUAAGAAGCGUUUUGACACGAAGGAUCAUUCUUUGAGCCAGUGGUUCUCGAACUUCUCUGAAGCAGAUGAACUAUUAAAACUGGCUGCUGCUCGUCAACAGGUGCAGGCUCACAUCGCUAAGCUGAGAAGGCAGCUAAGUAUGAUAGAGGGAAUGCCCCAGCAAUCCAGAGUCAUCUCUGGUCUGUCCUGGUCAACAGUUUGGGCACGGCUAAUGGAAUGGUAG
rnacentral:rRNA from 1 species